ACAAGUUCGUCUCCUGGGGCAAUGGAGUGUGCAUGGGUAGGUACAAAGAGACAGUCUGCUGCUCUGGUCUGUGUCUGCCGUCUGAGCUGAAGCCAUACCACCACUACUAUCUAGAGGCCAAAUACACCCCCUUCGACGAAGUGUUCCUGUGUUCUUCUCAGCCUUCCACGGAAGUCACCUUGGUGACCUUGGACUGUCCGGACGGAUUUGACCCUGUCAAAGUCGAGGUCGCCUUGGGUCAAUCGUGCGUGUGCAAAAAGUCAUCUUUGGAGGAAUUUCUGGCCACAAUAGACCCGUAGUUGCUAUAGAGCAGAAGCUUCCAAAAAACUCAAAAAACAAUUUUGUAAGCUUGUUUUGAGUAACCGGCUCAAACUUAAUUGAAAGCAGAAACUUGAAAAACGUGAUCUGUCAUGCUUUCAUUUCUAGUCAUAGUAACAUUUUGUAUAUCGAUUAAUACUAUAAACCUAUUUAGGCACCUAGACAAGAAAUUAGCUCAUGUUUUGUAAGAA